GCCACUUGGACCAUGUCUUCCACCCGUUUUGUUGGCCAAGGCUGAAGCGGAGCUCAUGGGCAGGGGUGGUCGUGCCCAUUGUGCGUCCCAGGAAGAUGUGCUGUGCUGGGCAGAGCAUCCCAAUCGCACCCAGCUGCUUCCACAGCCGCUUCUAUGGUGCGCUGGGGAGGAGAUGACCUCUCCAGUAUCAAACCACCUUGUUGCUUCUAGGCUGUGUUUCAAAUGAUGGUUAAACCCAACAUGGCUGUGGAGCUACUGUCGCUUCAGCUGCUGCCCAGAGGAGAGGAAAGGCCGCGGGUAUCCAAGUCUUCAGCACAAGUUCUGUGGAGCGCUUAAGAAGGCUGGAGAGAACCCUGUGCCCUUGGAGAAAAUUGUUUCCCCUUUUCCUACAGGGAAUCCAGAGCCUGAGCAGCAGCUGUGAAGACUGGAGAGAAAGAAAGAAGUGGAAGAUGUUGGAAGUGCUUUGGGCAACGUGAAGAAGGAUUUGCACAGAAGGAGCUGUUCAAGGGCCCAGCAGCAAACCAGAGACACAUACAUGCUUAUAUAUAGAAGAAUGUAAACCCUCCUGUAUGCAUACGUUAAGACGUGCAUGCCUUGUUGAGAACGUAAGCAACAUUCCUUGUAGAUGAUGGUGGUCUGAGCAUUCGUGCUCCUGCAGUCGGAGUCAAAAGAUUAGUGAUGUCCUUGCUGUAACACUAGCAGUUUCUCCACUGCGCCUUGUUUAUGGCAACGUAACCGUUCCUUUCAAUGCAGUGGGGUGGAAAAUACAUCCAGAGUUAAGUACUACCUUGAGAGACCAAGCUUGCUGCGGGACGGGCACGGCCUGGCCGUGGGGCGGGCACGGGUGCUUGGCAGCUUGGACGACAGACAGUCUGUGUGUGUAUAUAUUCAGUGCUAUAGCACCAGGUGAGAUAAGCUGUUCUUCUGACUUUAGUUUCUCUGGUGCUACAUUUCAUAUUUGUCUGGGGCUAAACUGCCUCUCUGUGGUGCUACAGUUUCCCUGAGAGGAUGUUCUGAAACAUGGGACAAGGAAAAAUCUAUUUUGGUUAUUGAUAUUUAUACACAAGAUAGCAAAAAAAAAA
ensembl:lncRNA